rnacentral:rRNA from 1 species
GACGAACGCUGGCGGCGUGCUUAACACAUGCAAGUCGAACGGAAAGGCCCUGCUUUUGUGGGGUGCUCGAGUGGCGAACGGGUGAGUAACAUGUGAGUAACCUGCCCUUGACUUUGGGAUAACUGCAGGAAACUGGGGCUAACACCGGCUAGGAGCUCCUGCUGCAUGGUGGGGGUUGGAAAGUUUAGGCGGUUGGGGAUGGACUCGCGGGUUAUCAGCUUGUUGGUGGGGUAGUGGCCUACCAAGGGUUUGACUGGUAGCCGGCCUGAGAGGGUGAACGGCCUCAUUGGGACUGAGGUACGGCCCAGAGUCCAACGGGGGGCAGAAGUGGGGAAUAUUGCACAAUGGGCGGAAGCCUGUUGCAGAAACGCCGCGUGCGGGAUGACGGCCUUCGGGUUGGAAACCGCUUUCGCCUGUGACGAAGCGUGAGUGACGGUAAUGGGUAAAGAAGCACCGGCUAACUACGUG